rnacentral:rRNA from 1 species
UGGGGGAUAUUGCACAAUGGGCGAAAGCCUGAUGCAGCGACGCCGCGUGGGGGAUGAAGGCCUUCGGGUUGUAAACUUCUUUUGCUCUGAACAAGGCAUGCUAAUGGGUGUGUUGAGUGUAGGGGUUGAUUAGCGCCGGCUAACUACGUGCCAGCAGCCGCGGUAAUACGUAGGGCGCGAGCGUUGUCCGGAAUUAUUGGGCGUAAAGGGCUUGUAGGUGGCUGGUUGCGUCUGUCGUGAAAGCUCAUGGCUUAACUGUGGGUUUGCGUUGGGUACGGGCUGGCUUGAGUGCAGUAGGGGAGGCUGGAAUUCCUGGUGUAGCGGUGGAAUGCGCAGAUAUCAGGAGGAAUACCGGUGGCGAAGGCGGGUCUCUGGGCUGUUACUGACACUGAGGAGCGAAAGCAUGGGGAGCGAACAGG